rnacentral:snRNA from 1 species
CGCUUGUUAGCGAUUGAC